AUUGAACGCUGGCGGCGUGCUUUACACAUGCAAGUCGGACGAGUGGCGAACGGGUGAGUAACGCAUCGGAACGUACCGAGUAAUGGGGGAUAACUGUCCGAAAGGACAGCUAAUACCGCAUAUUAUUCGAGCGGCCGAUGUCUGAUUAGCUGGUUGGCGGGGUAAAGGCCCACCAAGGCGACGAUCAGUAGCGGGUCUGAGAGGCUAAUCGGCCACGCUGGGACUGGGACACGGCCCAGUCUCCUACGGGAGGCAGCGUUGGGGAAUUUUGGACAAUGAGGGCAAGCCUGAUCCCGCCAGGCCGCGUGUCUGAAGAAGGCCUUCGGGUUGUAAAGGACUUUUGUCAGGGAGGCGGUACCUGAAGAGUAAGCACCGGCUAACUACGUGCCAGCAGCCGCGGUAAUAC
rnacentral:rRNA from 1 species